rnacentral:rRNA from 1 species
AUUGAACGCUGGCGGCAGGCCUAACACAUGCAAGUCGAACGAGUGGCGGACGGGUGAGAAAUGUCUGGAAAACUGCCUGAUGGAGGGGGAUAACUACUGGAAACGGUAGCUAAUACCGCAUACCAUCGGAUUUGCCCAGAUUGGAUUAGCUAGUAGGUGGGGUAAAGGCUCACCUAGGCGACGAUCCCUAGCUGGUAUGAGAGGAUGAACGGCCACACUGUAACUGAGACACGUUCCAGACUCCUACGGGAGGCAGCAGUGGGGAAGAUUGCGCAAUGGGCGCAAGCCUGAUGGAGCAAUGCCGCGUGUAUGAAGAAGGCCUUCGGGUUGUAAAGUACUUUCAGCGGGGAGGCGUUACCCGCACAAGAAGCACCGGCUAACUCCGUGCCAGCAGCCGCGGUAAUAC